rnacentral:lncRNA from 1 species
UGAGAUUUGAAAACCCAAGUUCAAAUGCCUAUUUGUAACUUCAAGCAAAAUAUGUGCAAUAUGAAACCUGCAAGUAUUUCACUUGCAGUUAAGCAUCUAAAAAGGGUGAAUGAUUUAAAAUUGGAAGCUUAUAACAAUGUAGGAUAAUCAUUAACAUUGUAUCAAGAUAGAAAGUUCACCCAUGUUACCUGUUAACCACAUAUCAUCACGAAGGUCACAUUCACUUGAUAUAUUUGUUCUUGCUAUUCAUUUCCACGCUCUUAGUUUGUGAAUUACAUCCAACAUUAUUCUAACUUCAACAUAAUAUGUUUUGCAAAGAAUUUUACGACACCACUUUGUCUGCACUUGAGAAACCAAAAUAAGAGAUUAAGGGUAUAUAGCAAAGUAUGAUUUACCAAGAUAAUUGGGAAAACCAUAUACAAAAAUAGACUACACGAUUAAAAGAAAAAUAGAGGAUUUUGAAUAUUAACAUUCUCAAGUAUAAAUGCAACAAAAAGUGAGUUCUAGAUAUGAUUAUGAAC